ACACAUGCAGUCGAACGAUGAUCAGGAGCUUGCUUCUGUGAUUAGUGGCGAACGGGUGAGUAACACGUGAGUAACCUGCCCCUGACUCUGGGAUAAGCGUUGGAAACGACGUCUAAUACUGGAUAUGACUUCCGGCCGCAUGGUCUGGUUGUGGAAAGAUUUUUUGGUUGGGGAUGGACUCGCGGCCUAUCAGCUUGUUGGUGAGGUAAUGGCUCACCAAGGCGACGACGGGUAGCCGGCCUGAGAGGGUGACCGGCCACACUGGGACUGAGACACGGCCCAGACUCCUACGGGAGGCAGCAGUGGGGAAUAUUGCACAAUGGGCGAAAGCCUGAUGCAGCAACGCCGCGUGAGGGAUGACGGCCUUCGGGUUGUAAACCUCUUUUAGUAGGGAAGAAGCGAAAGUGACGGUACCUGCAGAAAAAGCACCGGCUAACUACGUGCCAGCAGCCGCGGUAAUACGUAGGGUGCAAGCGUUGUCCGGAAUUAUUGGGCGUAAAGAGCUCGUAGGCGGUUUGUCGCGUCUGCUGUGAAAUCCCGAGGCUCAACCUCGGGCUUGCAGUGGGUACGGGCAGACUAGAGUGCGGUAGGGGAGAUUGGAAUUCCUGGUGUAGCGGUGGAAUGCGCAGAUAUCAGGAGGAACACCGAUGGCGAAGGCAGAUCUCUGGGCCGUAACUGACGCUGAGGAGCGAAAGCAUGGGGAGCGAACAGGAUUAGAUACCCUGGUAGUCCAUGCCGUAAACGUUGGGCGCUAGAUGUA
rnacentral:rRNA from 1 species